GAGAGAAAGAAGUGGAGUAUUUUUUUAAGGGGCUCUUGUGGCUGGGGAAGUUCCAGUCAGUCCAAAUUAGAUGAGUUUCUAGGUGUCUGCCUGGGUAUCCACCAGGAAAAUGCUGUUUCUGCCUUUAGACCCUUCCCUUCCAUCCAUCUCUGCACUCCUGGUGGUCUGUCCUCACCCACUCUCUGUGAUUUUCCUUCUCCCAGGCCUCCUCUUCCCAAGAUUCCUGAUCCUUUCUCUGCACUACUUUGCUCACCACUCCCUCCCUGCCACCCCCAGGAGGGAAACUCCUCUGCUCUGAAAGCAGGAACUGGCACUGGAGGCAAGCAGCACUGAGCAACCCAAGGGAUGUGGGAGAGGGCCAGCUGGAGGCUGCCAUGGCAACAGCUGGAUCUCCUUCAUCCCUCUCACCCUGCUUCCCUGCUGAUUACACUGAAACAACAGAAAAAAUAACAGUUGCUGGGAAUCAAAGAACCCUCUUCCUCCACGAAAUCACCUGGCCUCUUUCCACGCUUCCCAAAGCAAAUCUCUGGCAUCCUUGCUGCUGGUACAACAAUCUUGUGACUCUUCCUUGUACAUGGCAAGCAAAAAAGGGUUUGGUUUGCUUGCCCUUGAUGGGAAGACCUUUCUGUGCGCUUCUCCUGUGAUCUUUGAGCUCAGUGACAGAGCUGGGGCCAAAAAAAUAUCUCUGGAGGUGACUAUGACUCUUUGGGGGCUGUUCCAUGAGAAGAAUCCCCUGGGAGGAUCCAGGGUUUGGACCCAGAAGAGGUUUUGGUGGUGCUGCUUCUCCUGUGACAGCUCAGAGGAGAAGCAAGCCCAGCUCUUUGUCACAGGUCAUCAAUUCUCAGAACCUUACCUGUGCCCACAGACAUGUUCAAAUCUACCUGGUAUCACCCAGCACAGAUGA
rnacentral:lncRNA from 1 species